rnacentral:rRNA from 1 species
AUGGCCCUCUUUGAGGAGUUCUAUGUGGGCUCCAUUGACCUCCAUUGCCUUAACUACGGGAUCAUCACAUUGAUCCCCAAGGUUCCUGGUGCCUCGGACAUCCGUCAGUUUCGACCGAUCACGAUGAUCAAUGUGAUCUUCCGGAUUCUAGCAAAGGGGGUAGCCAAUAGGAUGGCCCCUUUGGCUGACCGCAUCACCCACCCGGAUCAGUCCGCCUUCAUCCAAGGCCGGUAUAUCCUGGAUGGGGUCCUUGUCUUUCACGAAGUUCUGCAUGAGGUCCGGUCCAAAAACCUUAGAGCAGUCUUCCUAAAAAUCGACUUCCACAAGGCCUACGACAUGGUUAGCUGGUCCUUCCUUCGGGAAGUGUUGCUCAGGAAAGGGUUCGACAAUUGCCAUGUCACCCGAGUCAUGCAGAUGGUGACCUCUGGCGCACCGCGAUGA